rnacentral:rRNA from 1 species
ACGCUCGACACCUACGGGAGCAGCAGUGGGGAAUAUUGCACAAUGGGGGAAACCCUGAUGCAGCGACGCCGCGUGAAGGAAGAAGUAUCUCGGUAUGUAAACCUCUAUCAGCAGGGAAGAAAGUGACGGUACCUGACUAAGAAGCCCCGGCUAACUACGUGCCAGUAGCCGCGGUAAUCUGAGCGGGCUGGCAAGGC